rnacentral:rRNA from 1 species
ACGGAGGGUGCAAGCGUUAUCCGGAUUCACUGGGUUUAAAGGGUGCGUAGGUGGAAUUAUAAGUCAGUGGUGAAAGCCCCGGGCUCAACUCGGGAAUUGCCAUUGAUACUGUUUUUCUUGAGUGCGAUUGAGGUGAGUAGAAUAUGUCAUGUAGUGGUGAAAUACUUAGAUAUGACAUAGAAUACCGAUUGCGAAGGCAGCUCACUAAAUCGUAACUGACGCUGAGGCACGAAAGCGUGGGGAUCAAACAGGA